rnacentral:rRNA from 1 species
GACGAACGCUGGCGGCGUGCUUAACACAUGCAAGUCGAACGGAAAGGCCUCUUUCGGGGGGUACUCGAGUGGCGAACGGGUGAGUAACACGUGAGUAACCUGCCCUUGACUUUGGGAUAACUUCAGGAAACUGGGGCUAAUACCGGAUAGGAGCUCCUGCUGCAUGGUGGGGGUUGGAAAGUUUCGGCGGUUGGGGAUGGACUCGCGGCUUAUCAGCUUGUUGGUGGGGGAGUGGCUUACCAAGGCUUUGACGGGUAGCCGGCCUGAGAGGGUGACCGGCCACAUUGGGACUGAGAUACGGCCCAGACUCCUACGGGAGGCAGCAGGGGGGAAUAUUGCACAAUGGGUGGAAGCCUGAUGCAGCAACGCCGUGUGCGGGAUGACGGCCUUCGGGUUGUAAACCGCUUUCGCUCAUGACGAAGCUUUGUGUGACGGUAGUGGGUAAAGAAGCACCGGCUAACUACGUG